rnacentral:rRNA from 1 species
UACGGAGGGGCAAGCGUUAUUCGGAAUCAUUGGGCGUAAAGGGCGCGUAGGCGGCUUGGCAAGUCAAAGGUGAAAUCCCUCGGCCUAACCGAGGAACUGCCUUUGAAACUGCUUGCUUGAGGCCGGGAGAGGGUAGCGGAAUUCCCAGUGUAGCGGUGAAAUGCGUAGAUAUUGGGAGGAACACCAGUGGCGAAGGCGGCUACCUGGACCGGUUCUGACGCUGAGGCGCGAAAGCGUGGGGAGCGAACAGG